rnacentral:rRNA from 1 species
AUACGUAGGGUGCGAGCGUUGUCCGGAAUUACUGGGCGUAAAGAGCUCGUAGGUGGUUUGUCGCGUCGUCUGUGAAAUUCCGGGGCUUAACUCCGGGCGUGCAGGCGAUACGGGCAUAACUUGAGUACUGUAGGGGAGACUGGAAUUCCUGGUGUAGCGGUGAAAUGCGCAGAUAUCAGGAGGAACACCGGUGGCGAAGGCGGGUCUCUGGGAAGUAACUGACGCUGAGGAGCGAAAGCAUGGGUAGCGAACAGGAUUAGAUACCCUGGUAGUCCAUGCCGUAAACGGUGGGCGCUAGGUGUAGGGGUCUUCCACGACUUCUGUGCCGUAGCUAACGCAUUAAGCGCCCCGCCUGGGGAGUACGGCCGCAAGGCUAAAACUCAAAGGAAUUGACGGGG